GGGAGUGAAAUAGAACCUGAAACCCUGCACUUACAAGCUGUGGAAGCACAUUUCUUGUGUGACCGCGUACUUUUUGUAGAACGGGCCAACGAGUUACGUUAAGUAGCAAGGUUAAGCACUUAAGGUGUGGAGCCGUAGCGAAAGCGAGUUUUAACUGAGCGUUCAGUUACUUGACGUAGACCCGAAACCGGGCGACCUACCCAUGAGCAGGAUGAAGCGAAAGUAAAAUUUCG
rnacentral:rRNA from 1 species